rnacentral:rRNA from 1 species
UAAGGAAUAUUGGACAAUGGACGAAAGUCUGAUCCAGCCAUGCCGCGUGCAGGAUGACAGCCCUACGGGUUGUAAACUGCUUUUAUACAGGAAGAAACACUCCGACGUGUCGGAGCUUGACGGUACUGUAAGAAUAAGGAUCGGCUAACUCCGUGCCAGCAGCCGCGGUAAUACGGAGGAUCCAAGCGUUAUCCGGAAUCAUUGGGUUUAAAGGGUCCGCAGGCUGUUUUUUAAGUCAGAGGUGAAAUCCUGCAGCUCAACUGUAGAACUGCCUUUGAUACUGGAAAACUUGAGUUAUUGUGAAGUGGUUAGAAUGUGUGGUGUAGCGGUGAAAUGCAUAGAUAUCACACAGAAUACCGAUUGCGAAGGCAGAUCACUAACAAUAUACUGACGCUCAUGGACGAAAGCGUGGGGAGCGAACAGG